rnacentral:tRNA from 1 species
GUUAAGAUAGCUCAGUAGGUAGAGCAAAAGACUGAAAAUCUUUGUGUCACCAGUUCAAAUCUGGUUCUUAGCA